rnacentral:rRNA from 1 species
AGAGUUUGAUCAUGGCUCAGAUUGAACGCUGGCGGCAGGCCUAACACAUGCAAGUCGAACGGAACCUUCGGGUUUAGUGGCGAACGGGUGAGUAAUGCCUAGGAAUCUGCCUAUUAGUGGGGGAUAACGAAUCGAAAGGUUCGCUAAUACCGCAUACGUCCUACGGGAGAAAGAGGGGGAUCUUCGGACCUCUUGCUAAUAGAUGAGCCUAGGCCGGAUUAGCUAGUUGGUAGGGUAAAGGCCCACCAAGGCGACGAUCUGUAGCUGGUCUGAGAGGAUGACCAGCCACACUGGAACUGAGACACGGUCCAGACUCCUACGGGAGGCAGCAGUGGGGAAUAUUGGACAAUGGGCGCAAGCCUGAUCCAGCCAUGCCGCGUGUGUGAAGAAGGCCCUCGGGUUGUAAAGCACUUUAAGCGAGGAGGAAGGUCAUCAUACUAAUAUUAUGAUGAAUUGACGUUACUCGCAGAAUAAGCACCGGCUAACUCUGUGCCAGCAGCCGCGGUAAUACAGAGGGUGCAAGCGUUAAUCGGAAUUACUGGGCGUAAAGCGCGCGUAGGCGGUUUGUUAAGUCGGAUGUGAAAUCCCCGGGCUCAACCUGGGCACUGCAUCCGAUACUGGCUGACUAGAGUGUGGGAGAGGAAGGUAGAAUUCCAGGUGUAGCGGUGAAAUGCGUAGAGAUCUGGAGGAAUACCGAUGGCGAAGGCAGCCUUCUGGCCUAACACUGACGCUGAGGUGCGAAAGCAUGGGGAGCAAACAGGAUUAGAUACCCUGGUAGUCCAUGCCGUAAACGAUGUCAACUAGCCGUUGGGGACCUUGAGUCUUUAGUGGCGCAGCUAACGCGAUAAGUUGACCGCCUGGGGAGUACGGCCGCAAGGUUAAAACUCAAAUGAAUUGACG